rnacentral:lncRNA from 1 species
CCGAGCCUUGAGAGCCCGGCCCUGGGCAACACCUCGAUCUGGGACCAGUGGUGCUGACUUUGGACACCAGGCCCCAGAACUGGGAAAGAAUAGAUUAGAUUGUUUGAAACCACCAAACUUGUGGCUUAGGAAAUGACUAUCCUCUUUCAUCACUCCCGUUGUUUUUCUCAGGAACAAUGACCAUGCGCCAUUGUAUAGAUGAGGAAGCGCAUGCGCUUGGAGAGGCGGCCCGCUCAGCCCAGGUACAGGCAGAGGCAGAGCCAGGGGACGGACCACAUGCAGCUCAUCCUUCCGGGAGCUUCGCUGGGCAACAAUCAACCUGCUAACACGCUACCAAAAACAAACAAUAUGCCCAGGACAUCAUCAACCA